AACCGACUUCGUUUUUCUGUCAAAGCGAUUUUAAGUAAAAAACGCGCGCCUUUUCGAACGAAAAUUCGAACGAACAGCGCGCGCCACUAUGCGCAGAAAGGGUGCGCAGUGCAAUUCAAGGGAAUUACCUUAACUCCACACCAUGAGCGGCUUUGCUGGCCAAUGGAAAUAUUCCACAGUUUGCACAAGGCUACUCUUGGGCUACACGUGAGGUUCGUUGUAAAAAGGGUACACUAUGUGAGCUACACGUGAGGUUCUGUAUAUAAAAAAAAAUCACUCCUAACUUUUCCCAUACCGGCAACGAACUGGCUGAACCACUUCCAUGAUAUACAGUUAUGGAUCGAAAGUUCAUCGUUUGUUCCAGAGCACAUCGAAUCAAAUAAAACAAAAGAAGCAAAGACAUUGACCUCGGGGUUUACCAAGUCAAACAAAGAAGCAAAGAUUUUUUUAUUCGAUACCCAACAAGGAAAAAGUUCAAUAUUCAUGAAGAGAAGUAAAAAAUCGAGUUUUGGAUUCCUGGUGGAGUCAGGAGAAUAACGCGUUUAUCGGUACAACUCCAAGUGUCUGCGCUCGUGAACACGGCAGUUGCCAGCUUGGUUAAACGCUUUGGAGCAGGACUGGCAGCGAUAUGGCUUCACUUGUGUAUGUAUCCUUAUGUGGGCCUGGAUUAAGAGAAAGACUUCGUUUGCAAGGUUCCCUAGUUAUAAAGAAUGUAAGGCACUCAUAAUAGGGAGGGGAGGGUACAUUUUCUACAUCCGCACCUUGUACCUUCAAACCAACCGCUCACAAAAAUACACAAAUUUUCCCCCAAGUUUUUCACGCAUUGCUAAAGGUCUCUUAGGUAUUUUAGAGUACUGACUGACGAAUUUAACAUAAUAAAAGACCCACCUUGAGAUAAUGCUUGCGCUUUAGCUUCAUACCGCACACGGGACACCAGACAGGGUUGGGCGGGGGCUUCCUUGUUGGCGUCUCUCCGCCAUUCCACUCCUCGUGAACAGACCUACUGUUGUUUGGAACGGUUCGUCCAUCUCCAGGCGGGAAGUCGCCAGCGCCACUUUGGUAAAAGUAGCCAUAACCUUGCCGUGACGAUUCAUUGUCAUUUGGGAAAGCACGGUUAGUAGUAUUAUCUCCAGCUUGGUAAGUGCUUCGUAUGCACGAUUUACUGGGGAUAUGCGAUGGGCCAAACGACCGAAUUAGUGACGGAACGCUCACUUCUGGCUCGCAGUAAGAACCCGUGACUUCUUGUGGCACUAGAUACUCUAUAUAAGACCUAUACAGAGAAGCAUUGUCAAAGCCAACGUCUUGGAUUUGGUAUGGGUAAGGAUUCCAUACGUCGUGGUACUGGAGUUGGUAGUGGUUCCUCGCAGCUCUGCCUGAAUGAAAUGCUGACGCUUGCGAGAUGUAGGAACAGGACCCGGAACCGUCUUCGCUGGAUCCGGAAUACUGCAAUUCGUCUUCUGGGGUGUUUUCUUGGGGACUCAAACCUUCAUGCUCCUGAGGGCUUCCGUUGGUGCCGCGUUGGGGACUAGAUAGAUCGCUGGGUGGGCAUUUCACUUAGUCACGAAGGGUGAUAACGCACCAAUCACGAUAAGGUCUUCUCUCUUGAUUGUUCAGGAAGCCGUUACAGAUUACUGUCUGCUCCAACGGCGUAGACAUUUCUUUUCUCGGCGUAGACAAUUCUUUGUUGUCUUUAAUGCCAGGGCAGCAUUUUUUAUUUGUAUUGUUAACAUUUUGGAAGUCUUUAUUCCUUACAAUGACUGGUAUUGGUGUUCCCUUCUGAAAGCUUGCACUAUACUGGGACAGAGCGUUAUUCCAGUAUUCGUAGAGAAUACGAGACGCUUCAUGUUCUUCAUAAGAUGCUUCGUGUUGGUGCGUCUCAAAGCGAUGUUCCUUUGUAUUGAGUUCCAUUGAUUCUACCUUAUCACCAAUAUAUGUAUUAUCUGGCAGUUACUGUUUCUUGCUCAUAGCGAAGGGAUGGUGGUAGGCUACAUUAGCAAUAGCAUUAUCAUCUGCUAAGCCCUGGUUUGAAGUUGACGGUUUUCCGUUACACGACCACUUGUGCUGCUCUCUAUUGUUAGCUCCAAGGUAGGUACUGGAUCGUUGGAGUCACUUGCCUUCGUAAGUCUGGCAUGGCAGGUAAGAGUAGGGUUAAGUUUAGGGUCGUCCUCGUUUUCAUUAACCUCACAUUUGAUGUCAAUAGUUUCCUCAGCCUUUCGUUCUUUCAUCGUUAAUGGAUGGACCGAUUUUGAAGUGCACGUUUCAUUCAAGGGCUGGGUGUGAUGCAUCAGGGAGGAAGUUCGCGUCUCUCUCGACCAUUCCUUCUGAGGGAACUUAAUAAUAAUAAUGAUGAUUAAUUAAUAAUUAAUAAAU